rnacentral:lncRNA from 1 species
AGUUUAUGAAUGUGUAUAUGCAGGUUUAUAUCGUUAUAGACUAGGUGAUGUGGUAAAGGUAAAAGGUUUUCACAAUGGGACUCCAGAACUCCAGUUUAUUUGCAGAAGCAACCUUUUGCUUAGCAUUAACAUUGACAAGAACACUUUCACAAUGGGACUCCAGAACUCCAAUUUGUAUGCAGAAGCAACCUUUUGCUUAGCAUUAACAUUGACAAGAACACUGAGAAAGAUUUACAACUAGCCGUGGAAGCUGCAGCAAAGCGCUUAGUAGAUGAAAAACUAGAAGUGGUGGACUUCACGAGCCAUGUCAAUGUCUCAGCUGAUCCGG